AGCAGAUGUUACAGAAAUAAACAGAUAAAAUGAGCUUCUUGUAAGAGAAAGUGCAAGCUGACAGUGUUAGAGCAACAGGUGAUGCCAUGGUGUUUCAAUUCUCUUUUGCUGGAGUGGUGAGAAAAUAAUUUGUUCAGCCUGCUCAAGGUCCUUUCAGGAGAAAGCAAUACAACCUAUUCAGCUUAAUUUACAACUAACUUCAAAGGAUUAAUUUGUUCAAUUUUUCAGGAUUCUCUUCUCUCAGUUUGGAUUAGAAGGUGGAGCAGCACAGAUUUAGGACACAGAAGAAAACAGACCCCUCAAAGGAUCAGGAUAAAGUAUCCCUGCAUGUGAUAUGGCUAAAAAGAAGAAAGUGAAGCUCUUUCAUCUUGUUCUAUAGAUAUAUCCACGUGGGCCUAUCUGUGGAGCCUGGUGUGCUCUGAUCCCUGCGGAGACGGUCUCUCUGCCUGCCCUCUCUGCACUUAUCACAGGGACAGAGGGACAUGAGCAGCAUUAUCGCCUUGAAAAGCUCAGCAUGGCAUUUUCCUUUUAUGCAGAAAGUGACACUGAACGCAGACCAAAAUGUACUCACUCACGACACGACAAGGUGGCCUGCCAUCUGGACCUGGCGGGGUUUAAAAGGUGGAGAUAACUGGGGUGAGAGUGGGCUUUUGGUGUGCCAUUAGAAGAGCUGACAACACAGUCCUACUUGAUCAGUAUCGCAUUCUGCAUCUAAAAAUAAAAAGAGGGAGUCUGGCAUGAGUGGUAGCAGGAAAUAUCUCACCUGCGUUACCAAGGCACUUCAGCCCACAGAAGGAACUUUCAUUGCCUUUCUCAUGACAUGUCCUGCUAACAUGUUACUCCUAAGACAGAUAAAAAGGAUAUCUUGUAUUGAAGCAAGUGAUUUAAAAAUGCAGCUUCCCGAGUCCAUGCUGGGCCUUUCCUCAGAUCAAAGGUACUGAGAGCAAGAACCAAACAGUUGCAUGGAUUGCAGUUUAAGUACUGAGGUCUGGCAUCUUGUCACCUGGUUGCCAAGGCCAUUCUUGAGCAGGGUGACAUGGAUGACAGAUAGUUUAGAAAAGGGGGAUGACUCAAGAAGGAGGCAAUUAAGAUUUCCAGUCCCGAGGACUGAGAAUGUAACACAUUGUCCCUUUCUGUUGAACCAGGUCUGGGGAACCUGUGCUCCAGCUCACAUCAGCACAGGCACACAUGGCCAAUGGUUGGGAAUGAUAGGAGUUGUAGUCCAGCCACAUCUGGGAGGCCACAGGUUUUCCCACCCUCCUCUUAAGUCAUUGCUAGGAGGAAAACAUUACAGUGCUGGCCCAAGACAUUUGGCUACCUGAAGUGGAGCCCAGCUUCCCCACCCAAAUAGAGUUAACAAUUUAAAAAGUCUUGCUGCUUCACUCAGACAUCAGUUUUUGCUUUCAUGUAUCCCACCUGAAGGAGCUUGCUUCAACCUGCAGCAUGGUCAUGCUUGUCAUGAGAAAUUAUGUGCUGACUCUGGCCUUAAGAUGCCAUAGCAGAUAUUGAUUGUGCUGAAAAAUUAGAUUAGGAAAUAUUCCACAACAGACUGAUCUUGAUAAGGAUAAAUAACCCCCUUAGUCUGUUGUACCUUCCAAAUGUUACUUUCAUUGCAGUCACGCCAUCUUGACACGUAUGCACUUGUUGUUUUGCUGUAUUCCUGGCCUUAUGGCAAUGUUCUUUUGUAACAGUUUGUGACUGAAAUUAUGGGAUGCAGAGACAGAGCCCAGGCAAAGUGUAUAAGUAUUCUCUGUUCUUUGCAUUUUGGCGCGCUGUUGGCUGAGCUUGACUCCCUAGCGCCUUGCUGCAGCAAUAAAACUUUGUUAUACCUA